rnacentral:rRNA from 1 species
UCCAGACUCCUACGGGAGGCAGCAGUGGGGAAUAUUGCACAAUGGGGGGAACCCUGAUGCAGCGACGCCGCGUGGGUGAAGGAGCACCUCGGUGCGUAAAGCCCUAUCGGCAGGGAAGAAAAGCGAACAGGUUCGCCUGGACGGUACCUGACUAAGAAGCCCCGGCUAACUACGUGCCAGCAGCCGCGGGAAUACGUAGGGGGCAAGCGUUAUCCGGAUUUACUGGGUGUAAAGGGAGCGUAGACGGCACUGCAAGUCCGGAGUGAAAGCCCGAGGCUUAACCAUGGGACUGCUCUGGAAACUGUGGAGCUUGAGUGCGGGAGGGGCAGGCGGAAUUCCUAGUGUAGCGGUGAAAUGCGUAGAUAUACGGAGGAACACCAGUGGCGAAGGCGGCCUGCUGGACAUUAACUGGCGCUGAGGCGCGAAAGCGUGGGGAGCAAACAGGAUUAGAUACCCCCGUAGC